UCUUUUAAUUGAAGGCUUGUAUGAAUGGUUGGACGAGAUAUUAACUGUUUCAAUUUAAAUUUUAGAAUUUUAUUUUUAAGUUAAAAAGCUUAAAUAAUAUUAAAAGACGAGAAGACCCUAUAGAUCUUGAUAAUUUAUAUGUUAAGUUUAUAUAGGAUAUUUAAAAUUUAAUAUAAAGGAUUAUUUUAUUGGGGUGAUAAUAAGAUUUAGAAAACUCUUAUAGAUUAAAACAUGAAUUAAUGAGUAAUUGAUCCAUUUGUAAUGAUUAAUAAGUUAAGUUACCUUAGGGAUAACAGCGUAAUUUUUUUAGAGAGUUCAUAUCGAUAAAAAAGAUUGC
rnacentral:rRNA from 1 species